rnacentral:rRNA from 1 species
UGCAAGUCGACGGGCUCUUCGGAGCAAGUGGCGGACGGGUGAGUAACGCGUGAGAAUGUGCCUUGAGGAUGGGGAUAACAAUAGGAAACUAAUGCUAAGACCCAAUGUGCCUUAAGUGGUGAAAAAUGAAAAUUGCCUGAAGAGGAGCUCGCGUCUGAUUAGCUAGUUGGGGUGGUAAAAGCGCACCAAGGCGACGAUCAGUAGCUGGUCUGAGAGGAUGAGCAGCCACACUGGGACUGAGACACGGCCCAGACUCCUACGGGAGGCAGCAGUGGGGAAUUUUCCGCAAUGGGCGAAAGCCUGACGGAGCAAUACCGCGUGAGGGAGGAAGGCCCUUGGGUUGUAAACCUCAAAACUUAGGGAAGAAAAAAAUGACGGUACCUAAUUUAAGCAUCGGCUAACUCCGUGCCAGCAGCCGCGGUAAUACG